rnacentral:rRNA from 1 species
ACUCCUACGGGAGGCAGCAGUGGGGAAUUUUGGACAAUGGGCGAAAGCCUGAUCCAGCAAUGCCGCGUGAGUGAAGAAGGCCUUCGGGUUGUAAAGCUCUUUUGUCAGGGAAGAAACGGUGAAAGCUAAUAUCUUUUGCUAAUGACGGUACCUGAAGAAUAAGCACCGGCUAACUACGUGCCAGCAGCCGCGGUAAUACGUAGGGUGCAAGCGUUAAUCGGAAUUACUGGGCGUAAAGCGUGCGCAGGCGGUUUUGUAAGUCUGAUGUGAAAUCCCCGGGCUCAACCUGGGAAUUGCAUUGGAGACUGCAAGGCUAGAAUCUGGCAGAGGGGGGUAGAAUUCCACGUGUAGCAGUGAAAUGCGUAGAUAUGUGGAGGAACACCGAUGGCGAAGGCAGCCCCCUGGGUCAAGAUUGACGCUCAUGCACGAAAGCGUGGGGAGCAAACAGGAUUAGAAACCCAGUAGUCC